AAUACGGCAAGCAGGUCGGGUCCCCUAGUAAAUUGAACAAAAGAGGGGUUGAGAUUGUUAUACUGAUUUGUGAUACACGCUCUACAUGGCUGAUUCACGUUGACUGUACAUGGCGUUGUAUAGAUAUGCAAACUCUACCAAAACGUGGCAAGGCGUCGGGUAGCAUCGAGGACUUGGCGGAUUUGCGGCUGAAACGCGCGGUUCCUGUUCAUGUGAUAUUGCGAUAAAGAACGAAAUGGUUCGUAAAUUUUCGUAGUUGAUGAUUCUGUAUUGAAUGUCUCGAUUUUACUUGGGCGAGAAUUUUUGGCUUAAUCCUCGCAUAGUGCUGGGAGAACUACAGUGGUCGUUAACUCCUUUCACGACCAAUUUUAAAUGCCAAUUGUAAUUAUUAUUAUAUUCAUGCCAAUUGUAAAUUUAACUU